GUUUGGGAAUGAAUGAUGACAAAUUGUUUCGGUCCCAGAUGACACGAAAUGAUUUUAAUUUUCCCAUUUUCUGACAUUCCCA
rnacentral:snoRNA from 1 species